rnacentral:lncRNA from 1 species
UUGGAGAUGGAGAUUACUUUAGUCAGCUUGACUCAGAGAUGGCCCUGGAGCACUCUUCAUCGAAAUUUAUGAGCAUUUCCGUGGUCUGUGUCUUUCCUGCUUUUCUCCUGAGCACUUGGUGAGCUGGGAUUGCAAUUUGUGCUUCUCUCCCGAACACCUGGUGAGCAUUAGAAUGGGUACUGCAAUUUCUCGUCUUGCAGCUGAAAAUCCGACCUGCCCCCAUGAUAUUCAAUUAUGAAGGUUGAUUUAUGUUUGUCUGCAACACCACCGCUUGUCUUCCCUUACGUUCUGCCAAAAUUUGAUUAUUAGGUGCUACAGAAUGCAGAAUUCAUUUCAAGCCACACAAUGAGCACCAGAGGAAACUUGUAGACUUUGAAUAUUGUUUUCUUUUCUUCUUUUGAUUGAUAAAGAAACACGUAGCUAGACCUUGCUUCUUAGUCUCUGACCCUUUG